GGCAAUUUGGCAAGGGAAACAACAAAGACUCCGAAAACUCGAUCCAAUGGCAUUCUCCAUCCUUUUGGGAAUAAUUAAUGAACAAAACCACUGGAUGUUGACGGUCAUCUACCCACACGAGAAGAGAUGCCUUUUUUUGGAUCCAUUGGGGGAAUCACAAAGGAACAUCAAGAGAUGCCUGGGGUCAACAAGGGCCUUUAUGCGAAAGAAAGGCUGCAACAUGACAAGGUGGGCAUGCAGCACCCUGGCCCAUGCACGCCAGCAAGAUGGCACAUCAUCUGGUGUCCUGGCCUUAAAAGUAAGUGU